rnacentral:rRNA from 1 species
AUAAUGUAGCCCUCCUUGCGGGGAUACCGUUUCGAAAGGAACGUUAAUACCGCAUAAAGCCUUCGAAGGGCAUCCUUUGAAGGGCAAACUGAUUCAGGGCGAGAGGAGCAAUCUGCGUACUAUCAGCUAGUUGGUGAGGUAAUGGCUCACCAAGGCUACGACGGUUAACUGGUCUGAGAGGAUGAUCAGUCACACUGGAACUGAGACACGGUCCAG